rfam:Gossypium arboreum cultivar AKA8401 contig_44691_1, whole genome shotgun sequence.
UGUUAAGAAUUUCAUUUAUUUAUACUUUUAAAAAUUGAUGUGAUUGACGAAAUAACUAAACUGUGACAUUUAUCAUGCCACAUGUACCUCAUGCUUAGAUACAAAAAUUAAUUUUUAACAGCAGAAAUAGAUAGAUUUUUUAAUA